ACGAAGGGGGCUAGCGUUGUUCGGAAUUACUGGGCGUAAAGGGCGCGUAGGCUGUGCUGUAAGUCAGGCGUGAAAGCCCCGGGCUCAACCUGGGAAUUGCGCUUGAUACUGCGGCGCUGGAAGGUGGGAGAGGAUGGCGGAAUUCCCAGUGUAGAGGUGAAAUUCGUAGAUAUUGGGAAGAACACCGGUGGCGAAGGCGGCCAUCUGGCCCAUUUUUGACGCUGAGGCGCGAAAGCGUGGGGAGCAAACAGGA
rnacentral:rRNA from 1 species